rnacentral:snRNA from 1 species
AUACUUUGACAGCACAUAUACCAAAAUCAGAACAAUACAGUGAGUGGCAUGGCUCCUGGGCAAGGAUGAAAUGCAAUUUUGUGAAACCCUCCAUAUUUUC